UACGUAGGUGACCAGCGUUGUCCGGAUUUACUGGGCGUAAAGAGCGCGCAGGCGGUCGUUCAAGUCGAGUGUGAAAGCCCCCGGCUCAACCGGGGAAGGUGGCUGGAAACUGGCGCACUGGAGGGCGGCAGAGGCGUGUGGAAUUCCUGGUGUAGCGGUGAAAUGCGUAGAGAUCAGGAGGAACACCCGUGGCGAAGGCGGCACGCUGGGCCGGCCCUGACGCUGAGGCGCGAAAGCGUGGGGAGCGAACGGG
rnacentral:rRNA from 1 species